UUGAUGUUACUAGUAGCUCUGGUUCCUUUUAGCUUGGCCUCGCCAUCCACAGUUCCCACAUUCCUUUGGUCGCCUCACUACAACAAGUAAGCGAAGAGGCGGCAUGCUGUUUCCAAGUCUCUUGAAGAAACGAAGUUGAUGUCUGUUCACCUUACUGAUCAAGUUUAGCCCUAUGGAGUUGCAGAAUCUGUGGACUAUCAGACCAUAUCACCCGGGGAUCUAGCAAAGGUUUUACUAUCUCAAGUCAAGGAGGCUGGUCACACUUGCUGUGCUUGGCAGAGAAACAUCAGCGACAUGCAGAUCUGGCUCUCGUUUUUGUUGGUAGAAAGCGGCAAUCUUCGGAUAUUUCCAGCAAUAGAUGUGGAGAACCUGCUCGCAUGAAGUGACAAAUCUACCGGCUUCUGGGAGGUUAAAUGUUACUGACAGGAUUCAUACACGAAGUCCUAUUUUUCGCUGGCACUCCUUUACAUUGCUGCAUUGUCUGAGUAGGCAAUGGAAAAUCUACUGGUUUCUGGGUUUAAAGAAAGCUGUGGCCUCGAUAUGGACAUCACCAAGGUUGCUUGUCUGGGUUCAUGCUCUGUGCAGGCGGAUGGUUCUCAGAAAAUCUCGGACC